CCUACGGGAGGCAGCAGUAGGGAAUAUUGCUCAAUGGGGGAAACCCUGAAGCAGCAACGCCGCGUGGAGGAUGAAGGUUUUCGGGUUGUAAACUCCUUUUGUUAGAGAAGAUAAUGACGGUAUCUCACGUAUAAGCACCGGCUAACUCCGUGCCAGCAGCCGCGGUAAUACGGAGGGUGCAAGCGUUACUCGGAAUCACUGGGCGUAAAGAGCGCGUAGGCGGGAAAGCAAGUCAGAUGUGAAAUCCUCCGGCUUAACCAUAGAACUGCAUUUGAAACUGUUUUUCUAGAGUAUGGGAGAGGUAAGUGGAAUUCCUGGUGUAGGGGUAAAAUGCGUAGAGAUCAGGAAGAAUACCAGUUGCGAAGGCGACUGGCUAGAACAUAACUGACGCUGAGGCGCGAAAGCGUGGGGAGCAAACAGGAUUAGAUACCCGAGUAGUC
rnacentral:rRNA from 1 species